ACACUCCUGCGGGAGGCAGCAGUGGGGAAUUUUGGACAAUGGGCGAAAGCCUGAUCCAGCAAUGCCGCGUGAGUGAAGAAGGCCUUCGGGUUGUAAAGCUCUUUUGUCAGGGAAGAAACGGUGAGAGCUAAUAUCUCUUGCUAAUGACGGUACCUGAAGAAUAAGCACCGGCUAACUACGUGCCAGCAGCCGCGGUAAUACGUAGGGUGCAAGCGUUAAUCGGAAUUACUGGGCGUAAAGCGUGCGCAGGCGGUUUUGUAAGUCUGAUGUGAAAUCCCCGGGCUCAACCUGGGAAUUGCAUUGGAGACUGCAAGGCUAGAAUCUGGCAGAGGGGGGUAGAAUUCCACGUGUAGCAGUGAAAUGCGUAGAUAUGUGGAGGAACACCGAUGGCGAAGGCAGCCCCCUGGGUCAAGAUUGACGCUCAUGCACGAAAGCGUGGGGAGCAAACAGGAUUAGAAACCCCAGUAGUCCCAUGA
rnacentral:rRNA from 1 species